CGGCAGAACUAUUAUUUUCGUGAAAAUAUCCAUUUCUAAUGGACCUUUUCCGUUAUUACAUUAUAUUAUGAUUGAAAGUUGUGUAAUGUAUGCAAAGAUGGCUGUUAGUUUGUCAAAUGUAUGCACUCCUGAUACUGUCACACUUGAUUGAGUAAUAGCAAUAUGCAAGGCUUUGUGUGAAUUAUUUCAGUUCAGCCAAAAGCAUAAAUACCAUACCAACGGAGGCUUUUAGGAUAGGUUCUAAAAAAAAAAAUUAACAAAAAAUAAAUCAAAAAAGAAAUAAAACAAGAGAACAGCUGUCUAACAUAGGGCUUUAGGAAUUUGUAAAAACUCCAUACGUGCCCCCUUGAUAUUGGUUGUCUCUCUAAGUCCGUCAAUCAAAUUACGAGUUUGAUUCUGUGUAGAUUGGGGAUUGGGCUGAUGCCUUUGCUUCUUUGUUCGCAGGCAGCUUGCGGAGGCUGGUGUACAUGUUUUGAUGGCUGUGAGGAACACGAAGGCAGCUCAAGAGCUGAUUCAGCAAUGGCGGAAUGAGUGGUCUGGCAAAGGUCUCCCACUUAAUGUCGAGGUAUAAAGUGUUGGAACUGGUGAUGAAGAAGCUGCUGAAUCAAACAGAUACAGCAGAGUUUGUGGCCGCAUUUGCAGGGAUUUAAGACGCCAUCCACCAGAUCGGAGAGCAGAAGAAGCUAAAAAAGCAGUGCCCGACAGUUUCUUUGAAGGGAUCAGGAUCAUCUAGUUGAGAGCUACACAUUUGAGAGUAAAACUAAAAGCUGCGAUGUUGAAUCUGCCUGGUUGCAUUUUUGGAAAUUCUGUCUUCUUAGCAACUCAUAUUGUCCAUGUACAACAGUAUGAAACCUGAAACUAACAGUUUCGCUGACCAUGUCUUGAUAUAGUCAUUGGUAUUAAUUCUUUAUAAGCUAUGCAAUAUUGAUCGAUGUUAUGAACAAACCAUUUCUAUUUUUCUCUUCCGAGUGUAUUGUGUUUCUCUUAACCA